rnacentral:rRNA from 1 species
UACGUAGGGGGCAAGCGUUGUCCGGAUUUACUGGGCGUAAAGAGCGUGUAGGCGGCCAAGCAGGUCCGUUGUGAAAACUGGAGGCUUAACCUCCAGACGUCGACGGAAACCGCGUGGCUAGAGUCCGGAAGAGGAGAGUGGAAUUCCUGGUGUAGCGGUGAAAUGCGCAGAUAUCAGGAGGAACACCAGUGGCGAAGGCGACUACCUGGCCUGUUCUUGACGCUGAGGCGCGAAAGCUAGGGGAGCAAACGGG